rnacentral:rRNA from 1 species
UACGUAGGGGGCGAGCGUUGUCCGGAAUCAUUGGGCGUAAAGCGCGUGUAGGCGGCUCGAUAAGUCCGGUGUGAAACCUUGGGGCUCAACCCCAAGCCUGCACUGGAUACUGCCGAGCUAGAGUCCGGGAGGGGAGAGCGGAAUUCCUAGUGUAGCGGUGAAAUGCGCAGAUAUUAGGAAGAACACCGGUGGCGAAGGCGGCUCUCUGGAACGGUACUGACGCUGAGACGCGAAAAGCGUGGGGGAGCGAACAGG